CUGGUUUACCAGUGAAGAAGAAAGAGAGGCAGCGUUAAACCAUCAGAUCCUCCAACAUGAACGUGGGUCAGUCUCUGAUCUGCCUCUUCUUCCUCACACUGCAGGAUGGAAACAUCGGUCUCAUCAAUGCAAAAAUCAUCAAGAGAACAAGAACUGAAGGAGAAGACAUCACCGUUGGAUGCUCCUUCAAGUUGGGUGGAAAGAGGAGAAUCUUCUGUAAGGAUGAAUGUAAAGACGGAGACAUUCUCAUUGAGACAGAAGAGGACACAGCUCAGAGAGGCAGAUACAGCAUCAGAUAUAAAUAUCCAUUGUUUUCUGAUACAGUUCUGUAUGUGAGCAUCAGAAACCUGACUCAGUCAGACUCAGGACGGUACAGAUGGGGUUU